rnacentral:tRNA from 1 species
GGGCGUGUGGCGGAAUUGGUAUACGCGUACGACUCAGACUCGUAUGGAGCAAUCCUUGGAGGUUCGAGUCCUCUCACGCCCA